GCAUUAGUGGUUUAGUGGUAAAAUUCGUCGUUGCCAUUCACAUUCGAGUUGAAACUCGACGAGCCGGGGGUUCGAUUCCCUCCUAAUGCA